rnacentral:rRNA from 1 species
GAUGAACGCUGGCGGUAUGCUUAACACAUGCAAGUCGAACGGACUCUUCGGAGUUAGUGGCGGACGGGUGAGUAACGCGUGAGAAUCUGGCUUCUGGUUCGGGAUAACAGUGGGAAACGACUGCUAAUACCGGAUGUGCCUGCGGGUAAAAGGCUUGCUGCCAAAAAAUGACCUCGCGUCUGAUUAGCUAGGUGGUGGGGUAAGAGCCUACCAAGGCGACGAUCAGUAGCUGGUCUGAGAGGAUGAUCACCCACACUGGGACUGAAACACCGCCCAAACUCCUACGGGAGGCAGCGGUGGGGAAUUUUCCGCAAUGGGCGAAAGCCUGACGGAGCAAUACCGCGUGAAGGAAAGAAGGCUCUUGGGUUGUAACCCUCUUUUCUCAGGGAAUAAGAAAGUGAAGGUACCUGAGGAAUCAGCAUCGGCUAACUCCGUGCCAGCAGCCGCGGUAAUACGGAGGAUGCAAGCGUUAUCCGGAAUGAUUGGGCGUAAAGCGUCCGCAGGUGGUUAUUCAAGUCUGCCGUUAAAGAGUCUGGCUUAACCAGAUAUA